rnacentral:tRNA from 3 species
GGGCCCGUGGUCUAGUGGUUAUGACGUCCGCCUCACACGCGGGAGGUCCCCGGUUCGAAUCCGGGCGGGCCCA